AGUGAGCGCUGGCGGCAGGCCUAACACAUGCAAGUCGAACGGCAGCACAGUAAGAGCUUGCUCUUAUGGGUGGCGAGUGGCGGACGGGUGAGGAAUACAUCGGAAUCUACUCUUUCGUGGGGGAUAACGUAGGGAAACUUACGCUAAUACCGCAUACGACCUACGGGUGAAAGCGGAGGACCUUCGGGCUUCGCGCGAUUGAAUGAGCCGAUGUCGGAUUAGCUAGUUGGCGGGGUAAAGGCCCACCAAGGCGACGAUCCGUAGCUGGUCUGAGAGGAUGAUCAGCCACACUGGAACUGAGACACGGUCCAGACUCCUACGGGAGGCAGCAGUGGGGAAUAUUGCACAAUGGGCGAAAGCCUGAUGCAGCGACGCCGCGUGGAGGAAGAAGGUCUUCGGAUUGUAAACUCCUGUUAAAUGGGAAGAAAGACUUCUGGCUAAUAUCCAGAGGGGAUGACGGUACCAUUAGAGAAAGCUCCGGCUAACUUCGUGCCAGCAGCCGCCGUAA
rnacentral:rRNA from 1 species